rnacentral:rRNA from 1 species
CGGCCGCGGUAAUCUGACCGUGCUAAGGUAGCAUAAUCAUUUGUCUUUUAAUUGAAGACUGGAAUGAAAGGUAAAACGAGAAAUAAGCUGUCUUUGUAAAAUAAAUUGAAUUUUAUUUUUUAGUGAAAAAGCUAAAAUAUUUUUGUGGGACGAUAAGACCCUAUAGAUCUUAAUUAUAUUUAGUAUUUGUUUAUUAAAAAAUAAUUUUAUUGGGGCGAUAGUAAGAAAAGAGAAUCUCUUAUUUAUAUAAAAUAUGGAUAAAUAGAUUAUGUUUUAGAUCCUAAAUGAUGGAUUAAAAGAAAAAGUUACCUUAGGGAUAACAGCGUAAUGUUUUUUAAGAGUUCUUAUCGAAAAAAAUGUUUGCGACCUCGAUGUU